AUCACUGUGGAACCAAACACAUCCACAAUGUGUAUGGUGCUGCCAAGCGGAAGCGGCAGGCUUGGCUUUCUUCCUAGCGGCAAAGUAGCCGGUGCCCGAAAGAAACGAACGGGGCCAAUCUGAUGGCUAACUGCUUUCGAUUUGUGUAAGCGCCGUCAAGAACAACGCUGCCCAAUAGCAGCAACGAGCCGCAUGAGUGAGAUCUGUAACAGCGCAAGAAAAAACCCUCGAUGAGCAUAUUCCGUGAAUUUUGCUGCCAAUCGGUAUCUGCUCGACGCGAAUACUGUUGGAGGGAUUGGGUUGGGUGGUUCGUCCCCUCUAUUACCAGUUGGCUCGGGUGGUAGCUGAGCUCCUUUGCCCCAGAAGCCUAGAAUUAUCAACCCAGAGGAAGCAUAUGGAAUCGUGUUUAACUCUUACAAUUUAAUUCUUGCACAGGAGCGGCUCAUCUGAAUGCCUGAGUUCCCUAGUUGGCAUAAAUUUCGUGGAUCUGGGCAAGAGAGGAAGAGGGACCCUGAUACCUAGCCUAGUUAAGGUGUCGAGUUACACGACAAAGGCUACGGCUCGAAACCAUGCCCAACAGCCAAAGUAUUAUACGCAAGGACAUGGAGGAUCCAUGCAAGUUUCCUUAUACCCCGCUUUUCAAGGUCUUAAUGUAUCACGAGUUGCUCAACUUGGGCAAGCCGGCAACAGCUGCCGCCUCGAGUAGAUUGGUGGUUCAUAAUGCCGGAUUGACUCGCGCGUAGGCACAAAUAGGCAAGCAGGGUAUCAGGAGACUAUACGGCUAAUUCAAUUGAAAAUGGGCCAUGUCCUUACACACUCAGAAACACUUUUCCAAUGUAGGAGGCGC
rnacentral:sRNA from 2 species